rnacentral:rRNA from 1 species
AAUAGAUACCCAGGUAGUCCACGCCGUAAACGAUGAGUGCUAAGUGUUAGAGGGUUUCCGCCCUUUAGUGCUGCAGCAAACGCAUUAAGCACUCCGCCUGGGGAGUACGGUCGCAAGACUGAAACUCAAAGGAAUUGACGGGGGCCCGCACAAGCGGUGGAGCAUGUGGUUUAAUUCGAAGCAACGCGAAGAACCUUACCAGGUCUUGACAUCCUUCGCUACUUCUAGAGAUAGAAGGUUCCCCUUCGGGGGACGGAGUGACAGGUGGUGCAUGGUUGUCGUCAGCUCGUGUCGUGAGAUGUUGGGUUAAGUCCCGCAACGAGCGCAACCCUUGACCUUAGUUGCCAGCAUUUAGUUGGGCACUCUAAGGUGACUGCCGGUGACAAACCGGAGGAAGGUGGGGAUGACGUCAAAUCAUCAUGCCCCUUAUGACCUGGGCUACACACGUGCUACAAUGGAUGGUACAAAGGGCUGCAAGACUGCGAAGUCAAGCCAAUCCCAUAAAACCAUUCUCAGUUCGGAUUGCAGGCUG